rnacentral:sRNA from 1 species
CUCAGGCUUAGGCUUAGGCUUAAGCCUAAGCUUAGGCUCAGGCGUAGGCUUAGG